GAUGAACGCUGGCGGCGUGCCUAAUACAUGCAAGUCGAGCGAACAGACGAGGAGCUUACUCCUCUGACGUUAGCGGCGGACGGGUGAGUAACACGUGGAUAACCUACCUAUAAGACUGGGAUAACUUCGGGAAACCGGAGCUAAUACCGGAUAACAUGUUGAACCGCAUGGUUCAACAGUGAAAGACGGUCUUGCUGUCACUUAUAGAUGGAUCCGCGUCGCAUUAGCUAGUUGGUAAGGUAACGGCUUACCAAGGCAACGAUGCGUAGCCGACCUGAGAGGGUGAUCGGCCACACUGGAACUGAGACACGGUCCAGACUCCUACGGGAGGCAGCAGUAGGGAAUCUUCCGCAAAGGGCGAAAGCCUGACGGAGCAACGCCGCGUGAGUGAAGAAGGUCUUCGGAUCGUAAAACUCUGUUAUUAGGGAAGAACAAAUGUGUAAGUAACUAUGCGCGUCUUGACGGUACCUAAUCAGAAAGCCACGGCUAACUACGUG
rnacentral:rRNA from 1 species